rnacentral:rRNA from 1 species
AGGACGAACGCUGGCGGCGUGCUUAACACAUGCAAGUCACGGGGGCCCGCAAGGGCAACCGGCGAACGGGUGCGUAACACGUGAGCAAUCUGCCGAUUUCUGGGGGAUAGCCGGCCCAACGGCCGGGUAAUACCGCAUACGCUCGUUGAGAGGAGUCUCUCGACGAGGAAACCUCCGGGGGAAAUCGAGGAGCUCGCGGCCUAUCAGCUAGUUGGCGGGUAACGGCCCACCAAGGCGAUGACGGGUAGC